rnacentral:rRNA from 1 species
CAGUAGCCGCGGUAAAACGUAGGGUGCAAGCGUUAAUCGGAAUUACUGGGCGUAAAGCGUGCGCAGGCGGUUAUAUAAGACAGAUGUGAAAUCCCCGGGCUCAACCUGGGAACUGCAUUUGUGACUGUAUAGCUAGAGUACGGCAGAGGGGGAUGGAAUUCCGCGUGUAGCAGUGAAAUGCGUAGAUAUGCGGAGGAACACCGAUGGCGAAGGCAAUCCCCUGGGCCUGUACUGACGCUCAUGCACGAAAGCGUGUGGAGCAAACAGGAUUAGAUACCCCAGUAGUCCCUGUCUCUUAUAC